rnacentral:rRNA from 1 species
GGGCCCGCACAAGCGGUGGAGCAUGUGGUUUAAUUCGAUGCAACGCGAAGAACCUUACCUACUCUUGACAUCCAGAGAAGCCAGCGGAGACGCAGGUGUGCCUUCGGGAGCUCUGAGACAGGUGCUGCAUGGCUGUCGUCAGCUCGUGUUGUGAAAUGUUGGUUAAGUCCCGCAACGAGCGCAACCCUUAUCCUUGUUUGCCAGCACGUAAUGGUGGGAACUCCAGGGAGACUGCCGGUGAUAAACCGGAGGAAGGUGGGGACGACGUCAAGUCAUCAUGGCCCUUACGAGUAGGGCUACACACGUGCUACAAUGGCGCAUACAGAGGGCAGCAAGCUAGCGAGGACAAG